CUCCAAUAUCCUCCUCAUAUCUUUCCUCGCAGCCACUUGUUGUUGAACCAGUACUUGCAUUAACUGAGCUGCAGUAACUUGUUCUCCAAAUUGAAUUUCAGAUUCUCCUAGAGUUUCUUCCCUAGGAGUGACCUCUGCAGGCUCAGUAGGAUGUUCUUGUUGUAGUGCAUCAUCAAUCGGUGAGGGUGGAGCAUUUUCUUGUUGCAAAGCUG
rnacentral:lncRNA from 1 species